rnacentral:rRNA from 1 species
AUUGAACGCUGGCGGCAGGCCUAACACAUGCAAGUCGAGCGGAUGACGGGAGCUUGCUCCUUGAUUCAGCGGCGGACGGGUGAGUAAUGCCUAGGAAUCUGCCUGGUAGUGGGGGACAACGUUUCGAAAGGAACGCUAAUACCGCAUACGUCCUACGGGAGCAAGCCGGGGACCUUCGGGCCUUGCGCUAUCAGAUGAGCCUAGGUCGGAUUAGCUAGUUGGUGGGGUAAUGGCACACCAAGGCGACGAUCCGUAACGGGUCUGAGAGGAUGAUCAGUCACACUGGAACUGAGAUACGGUCCAGACUCCUACGGGAGGCAGCAGUGGGGGAUAUUGGACAAUGGGCGAAAGCCUGAUCCAGCCAUGCCGCGUGUGUGAAGAAGGUCUUCGGAUUGUAAAGCACUUUAAGUUGGGAGGAAGGGCAGUAAGCUAAUACCUUGCUGUUUUGACGUUACCGACAGAAUAAGCACCGGCUAACUCUGUGCCAGCCGCCGCGGUAA